AUACACAUAUAAUUAGCACAAAACAAAACCCACAUAAACUAUAGCACAAAACAAUACCACUGAAAUAACAUCACAGCCACAUGAUCUGAAUUUUUUAAAAAUUACUUUACUAAUUAAAAAGUCAUAGCCCACAAAACAAAACCCAAUGAAUUUUUGCUGAAUCUCAUGCAUGCAAUGCACCGCCUAGCUCAUAUCUAAACCUAAUUUCUAAUCUCUCUCUACACCUCAUCUCUAAACCCAAUUUCUAAUCUCUCUCUAAAUCUCAUACUUCUAAAUCUCAAAAUUAUUAGAAGAUUUUAUUUCUAUUCCAAUGUUCAUGCAAAUGCACGGCCUAGCUCAUCUCUAAACCCAAUUUCUAAUCUCUCUCUAAAUCUCAAAAUUAUUAGAAGUAUUAUAUUUCGAUUCCAAUUUUCAUACCCAAUUCUCUGUAUUUAGUGAGAAAUAUAUAAGGCUAUGCGAAUCAUACAUGUUCAUUUCUAAUCUCUCUCUAAAUCUCAUUUUAUAUUUCUAUCCCAAUUUUCAUACCCAAUUCUCUGAAUUGUGGUAGCCUUAUUAAUUACGGGUGGAGGAAGAAUUUUUAAAGUUAUAAUUUGAUUUUGUUUUCGGCGAGAAUCAAACAACUGAGAUAAUUGAAGGUGAAGGAAGGAAAAAUGGGAGAAGAAUAUGAGAAUUCUAAUUGCAAUUGAGGAGAUAAUGGAACCGAGUAAUAGAGGAAGAAGGGAGAAGAGGAAGACGUGUGAAGGAAACUGUGCAAAUUGUGUAAUUUCUAAUGGAGUGAAUUAGUUUUUUUUUCUUGGAAGGAAGGAGUGGAAACUGUCGUAUUUUAUUUCUUUCAGUGAUGUAAUUCUUUUUUUCUUUUUUAAUUAAUGUUGAAUGUGUUGCAGUUGCAUUACAGUAACUGAGAUUUGUUUAAUUUAGGAAGGGUAAAAUGGGGUUUCCCUUAUUUUGGUGUCCCCCAUGUCUUCCCAUAUAGAAUAGAGAUUGGCUAAUCUACAAUCAAAAUGCUCUUGUUAUAUAAAAAUAUGAACAAAAACAUAAACAUCCAAAAAUGAAA